UACAGAGGGUGCGAGCGUUGUCCGGAAUCACUGGGCGUAAAGGGCGCGUAGGCGGCUCAGUAAGGUUGCGGUGAAAGCCCGGGGCUCAACCCCGGGUCGGCCGUGGCAACUGCUGGGCUGGAGCACUGUAGAGGCAGGUGGAAUUCCGGGUGUAGCGGUGGAAUGCGUAGAGAUCCGGAAGAACACCGGUGGCGAAGGCGGCCUGCUGGGCAGUAGCUGACGCCGAUGCGCGACAGCGUGGGGGAGCAAACAGG
rnacentral:rRNA from 1 species